UACGAAGGGUGCAAGCGUUGUUCGGAUUUACUGGGCGUAAAGCGCGCGCAGGCGGGUUUAUAAGCCAGAUGUGAAAUUUUGGGGCUCAACCCCAAACGUGCGUCUGGAACUGUAGAUCUAGAAUAUUGGAGGGGAAAGUGGAAUUUCACAUGUAGGGGUAAAAUCCGUAGAGAUGUGAAGGAACACCAGAGGCGAAGGCGACUUUCUGGCCAAUUAUUGACGCUGAGGCGCGAAAGCGUGGGUAGCAAACAGG
rnacentral:rRNA from 1 species